GUCGAGCGGAUGACGGGAGCUUGCUCCUUGAUUCAGCGGCGGACGGGUGAGUAAUGCCUAGGAAUCUGCCUGGUAGUGGGGGACAACGUUUCGAAAGGAACGCUAAUACCGCAUACGUCCUACGGGAGAAAGCAGGGGACCUUCGGGCCUUGCGCUAUCAGAUGAGCCUAGGUCGGAUUAGCUAGUUGGUGAGGUAAUGGCUCACCAAGGCGACGAUCCGUAACUGGUCUGAGAGGAUGAUCAGUCACACUGGAACUGAGACACGGUCCAGACUCCUACGGGAGGCAGCAGUGGGGAAUAUUGGACAAUGGGCGAAAGCCUGAUCCAGCCAUGCCGCGUGUGUGAAGAAGGUCUUCGGAUUGUAAAGCACUUUAAGUUGGGAGGAAGGGCAGUAAGUUAAUACCUUGCUGUUUUGACGUUACCGACAGAAUAAGCACCGGCUAACUCUGUGCCAGCAGCCGCGGUAAUACAGAGGGUGCAAGCGUUAAUCGGAAUUACUGGGGCGUAAAGCGCGCGUAGGUGGUUCGUUAAGUUGGAUGUGAAAGCCCCGGGCUCAACCUGGGAACUGCAUCCAAAACUGGCGAGCUAGAGUACGGUAGAG
rnacentral:rRNA from 1 species